GUAAAAUUUUAUUUUAGUUUAAAAAUUGAAUGUUAUUUUCAAUUAUAUGUAAAAUUUUAUUUAAAAAUAGAUUGCAGUAAUUAAAGUUAAAUAUUCAAGAAAUUGAGAUUUAUGAAUAAUAAUUAAUAUAAACUAAGUUUGUGCCAGCAGUUGCGGUUAUACAAAUUAUGUAAUUUAAUUUUUAUUAAUUAUAAUUAAUUGUUAUUUAAAUUUUAAGUUUAAAUUUAUUAAGUGAAAUUUUAAAUUUAUAAAAAAUUUAUAUUAUUAAAUGUUUUAGUAAAUUUUAAUAAUAAACUAGGAUUAGAUACCCUAUUAUUUAAAAAUGUAAUUUUAAAAAUUUAAUUAGUAUUAGUUAUGUUCUUAAAAAUUAAAAAAUUUGGCGGUAUUUUAGUCUAUUUAGAGGAACCUGUUUUAUAAAUGAUAAUCCACGAUUUAAUUUACUUAUUUUAUUAGUUUAUAUAUCGUCGUAAUUAAAUAUUUUUUUAGAAUUUAAUAUUUAAGAAUUUUUAUUUAAAAAUAAAUCAGAUCAAGAUGUAAUUUAUAAAUAAGUAAAAAUGGGUUACAUUAAAUUUAUUUAAGGAUAAUAAUUAUUAUAGUUAUUUAAAUAUGGAUUUAAUAGUAAUUUAAAUAAAUUAAUUUAAAUGAUUUUAGCUCUAAAAUAUGUACAUAUUGCCCGUCGCUUUCAUUUAAAAUGGAAUAAGUCGUAACAAAGUAGAUUUACUGGAAAGUGAAUCUAGAAUCAA
rnacentral:ncRNA from 1 species